UUAAGUGACUAAGCGUACACGGUGGAUGCCUAGGCAGUCAGAGGCGAUGAAGGGCGUGCUAAUCUGCGAAAAGCGUCGGUAAGGUGAUAUGAACCGUUACAACCGGCGAUACCCGAAUGGGGAAACCCAGUGUGUUUCGACACACUAUCAUGUCAUGAAUACAUAGUGGCAUGAGGCGAACCGGGGGAACUGAAACAUCUAAGUACCCCGAGGAAAAGAAAUCAACCGAGAUUCCCCCAGUAGCGGCGAGCGAACGGGGAGGAGCCCAGAACCUGAAUCGGCUUGUGUGUUAGUGGAAGCGUCUGGAAAGUCGCGCAGCAAAGGGUGAUAGCCCCGUACACUAAAAUGCACAGGUCGUGAGUUCGAUGAGUAGGGCGGGACACGUGACAUCCUGUCUGAAUAUGGGGGGACCAUCCUCCAAGGCUAAAUACUCCUGACUGACCGAUAGUGAACCAGUACCGUGAGGGAAAGGCGAAAAGAACCCCGGCGAGGGGAGUGAAAUAGAACCUGAAACCGUGUACGUACAAGCAGUGGGAGCACCUUCGUGGUGUGACUGCGUACCUUUUGUAUAAUGGGUCAGCGACUUAUAUUUUGUAGCAAGGUUAACCGUAUAGGGGAGCCGUAGGGAAACCGAGUCUUAACUGGGCGAAUAGUUGCAAGGUAUAGACCCGAAACCCGGUGAUCUAGCCAUGGGCAGGUUGAAGGUUGGGUAACACUAACUGGAGGACCGAACCGACUAAUGUUGAAAAAUUAGCGGAUGACUUGUGGCUGGGGGUGAAAGGCCAAUCAAACCGGGAGAUAGCUGGUUCUCCCCGAAAGCUAUUUAGGUAGCGCCUCGUGAACUCAUCUUCGGGGGUAGAGCACUGUUUCGGCUAGGGGGCCAUCCCGGCUUACCAAACCGAUGCAAACUCCGAAUACCGAAGAAUGUUAUCACGGGAGACACACGGCGGGUGCUAACGUCCGUCGUGAAGAGGGAAACAACCCAGACCGCCAGCUAAGGUCCCAAAGUCAUGGUUAAGUGGGAAACGAUGUGGGAAGGCAUAGACAGCCAGGAUGUUGGCUUAGAAGCAGCCAUCAUUUAAAGAAAGCGUAAUAGCUCACUGGUCGAGUCGGCCUGCGCGGAAGAUGUAACGGGGCUAAACCAUGCACCGAAGCUGCGGCAGCGACGCUUAGGCGUUGUUGGGUAGGGGAGCGUUCUGUAAGCCGUUGAAGGUGGCCUGUGAGGGUUGCUGGAGGUAUCAGAAGUGCGAAUGCUGACAUAAGUAACGAUAAAGCGGGUGAAAAGCCCGCUCGCCGGAAGACCAAGGGUUCCUGUCCAACGUUAAUCGGGGCAGGGUGAGUCGACCCCUAAGGCGAGGCUGAAAAGCGUAGUCGAUGGGAAACAGGUUAAUAUUCCUGUACUUGGUGUUACUGCGAAGGGGGGACGGAGAAGGCUAGGCUAGCCGGGCGACGGUUGUCCCGGUUUAAGCGUGUAGGGGGUGUGACCUGGUAAAUCCGGUUACAUACUAACCCUGAGGCGUGAUGACGAUGCACUACGGUGCAGAAGUAGUUGAUGCCCUGCUUCCAGGAAAAGCCUCUAAGCAUCAGGUAACAUUAAAUCGUACCCCAAACCGACACAGGUGGUCAGGUAGAGAAUACCAAGGCGCUUGAGAGAACUCGGGUGAAGGAACUAGGCAAAAUGGUGCCGUAACUUCGGGAGAAGGCACGCUGGCAUGUAGGUGAAGUCCCUUGCGGAUGGAGCUGAAGCCAGUCGAAGAUACCAGCUGGCUGCAACUGUUUAAUAAAAACACAGCACUGUGCAAACACGAAAGUGGACGUAUACGGUGUGACGCCUGCCCGGUGCUGGAAGGUUAAUUGAUGGGGUCAGCCGCAAGGCGAAGCUCUUGAUCGAAGCCCCAGUAAACGGCGGCCGUAACUAUAACGGUCCUAAGGUAGCGAAAUUCCUUGUCGGGUAAGUUCCGACCUGCACGAAUGGCGUAAUGAUGGCCAGGCUGUCUCCACCCGAGACUCAGUGAAAUUGAACUCGCUGUGAAGAUGCAGUGUACCCGCGGCAAGACGGAAAGACCCCGUGAACCUUUACUAUAGCUUGACACUGAACAUUGAGCCUUGAUGUGUAGGAUAGGUGGGAGGCUUUGAAGCGUGGACGCCAGUCUGCGUGGAGCCAUCCUUGAAAUACCACCCUUUAAUGUUUGAUGUUCUAACUCGGCCCCGUGAUCCGGGGUGAGGACAGUGUCUGGUGGGUAGUUUGACUGGGGCGGUCUCCUCCCAAAGAGUAACGGAGGAGCACGAAGGUUAGCUAAUCACGGUCGGACAUCGUGAGGUUAGUGCAAAGGCAUAAGCUAGCUUGACUGCGAGAGUGACGGCUCGAGCAGGUACGAAAGUAGGUCUUAGUGAUCCGGUGGUUCUGAAUGGAAGGGCCAUCGCUCAACGGAUAAAAGGUACUCCGGGGAUAACAGGCUGAUACCGCCCAAGAGUUCAUAUCGACGGCGGUGUUUGGCACCUCGAUGUCGGCUCAUCACAUCCUGGGGCUGAAGUAGGUCCCAAGGGUAUGGCUGUUCGCCAUUUAAAGUGGUACGCGAGCUGGGUUUAGAACGUCGUGAGACAGUUCGGUCCCUAUCUGCCGUGGGCGUUGGAAGAUUGAGAGGGGUUGCUCCUAGUACGAGAGGACCGGAGUGAACGCACCACUGGUGUUCGGGUUGUCAUGCCAAUGGCAUUGCCCGGUAGCUAAGUGCGGAAAAGAUAAGCGCUGAAAGCAUCUAAGCGCGAAACUUGCCUCAAGAUGAGUCUUCCCUGGGCCUUUAAGGCCCCUGAAGGAACGUUUAAGACUAAGACGUUGAUAGGCUGGGUGUGUAAGUGCAGCGAUGCAUUGAGCUAACCAGUACUAAUGAUCCGUGAGGCUUAACCUU
rnacentral:rRNA from 1 species